UACGAAGGGGGCUAGCGUUGUUCGGAAUUACUGGGCGUAAAGCGCACGUAGGCGGAUGUUUAAGUUAGGGGUGAAAUCCCAGGGCUCAACCCUGGAACUGCCUCUAAUACUGGGCAUCUAGAGUCCGAGAGAGGUGAGUGGAAUUCCGAGUGUAGAGGUGAAAUUCGUAGAUAUUCGGAGGAACACCAGUGGCGAAGGCGGCUCACUGGCUCGGUACUGACGCUGAGGAGCGAAAGCGUGGGGAGCGAACAGG
rnacentral:rRNA from 1 species